rnacentral:rRNA from 1 species
AUGGUUUGGCAUGUACUCCCUCUGUACCGAAAUGUAAGUCGUUUAAGCAUUCGACGUGCAAAUUUUGUUACGCUACGAAUAUUUUCCACUUUCCAGAAAUGCCCUCUCGUUCGUUCACCUCACCAACUCGAGCUCACUCUCUCUGGUUCCCCUCUCACCCACCCCCUUCUCGAUCCCCUCCAGAUCCCCGUCGUCGCCGGCCUCUCCUCGUCGUCGUUCGCCGGCCUCUCCUCGCCACCACCGCGCACUCUGUUUCCUCCCACCGCGCACCCUGUUUCCUCCGGCCGCGCACACCGCACCGUAGGUCAAAAGCUUGCUUUUUUAGGCGCCGUCGACGAGCUUCUGGGCGGCGGAGGAUGGAUCCGCGUGCACUGA